rnacentral:rRNA from 1 species
AACGAACGCUGGCGGCAGGCCUAACACAUGCAAGUCGAGCGAGGACUUCGGUCCUAGCGGCGGACGGGUGAGUAACGCGUGGGAACGUGCCCUUUGCUACGGAAUAGCCCCGGGAAACUGGGAGUAAUACCGUAUGUGCCCGAGAGGGGAAAGAUUUAUCGGCAAAGGAUCGGCCCGCGUUGGAUUAGGUAGUUGGUGGGGUAAUGGCCUACCAAGCCGACGAUCCAUAGCUGGUUUGAGAGGAUGAUCAGCCACACUGGGACUGAGACACGGCCCAGACUCCUACGGGAGGCAGCAGUGGGGAAUCUUAGACAAUGGGGGAAACCCUGAUCUAGCCAUGCCGCGUGAGCGAUGAAGGCCUUAGGGUUGUAAAGCUCUUUCAGUGGGGAAGAUAAUGACGGUACCCACAGAAGAAGCCCCGGCUAACUCCGUGCCAGCCGCCGCCGUAAGAC